UGGGGAAUAUUGCACAAUGGGCGGAAGCCUGAUGCAGCGACGCCGCGUGAGGGAUGACGGCCUUCGGGUUGUAAACCUCUUUCAGUAGGGACGAAGCGUAAGUGACGGUACCUGCAGAAGAAGCACCGGCUAACUACGUGCCAGCAGCCGCGGUAAUACGUAGGGUGCGAGCGUUGUCCGGAAUUACUGGGCGUAAAGAGCUCGUAGGCGGUUUGUCACAUCGUCUGUGAAAUCCUAGGGCUUAACCCUGGACGUGCAGGCGAUACGGGCUGACUUGAGUACUACAGGGGAGACUGGAAUUUCUGGUGUAGCGGUGGAAUGCACAGAUAUCAGGAAGAACACCGAUGGCGAAGGCAGGUCUCUGGGUAGUAACUGACGCUGAGGAGCGAAAGCAUGGGUAGCGAACAGG
rnacentral:rRNA from 1 species